rnacentral:rRNA from 1 species
UACGUAGGGGGCUAGCGUUGUCCGGAAUCAUUGGGCGUAAAGAGCGUGUAGGCGGCCCGGUAAGUCCGCUGUAAAAGUCAAAGGCUCAACCUUUGAAUGUCAGUGGAUACUGCCGGGCUAGAGUCCGGAAGAGGAGAGUGGAAUUCCUGGUGUAGCGGUGAAAUGCGUAGAUAUUAGGAAGAACACCGGUGGCGAAGGCGGCCCACUGGAUCGGUACUGACGCUGAGGUGCGAAAGCGUGGGGAGCAAACAGG